AGUGUCGUCUGGAAACGUCAGAUUCCAAGGAAGUCAAUACAUACAACUAACACAGUUGAUACGACUCAAAAAGAAACAGCAAAGAGAUAUGCCAAGGAGUGGUCCCUAAUUCUUUCUCUGUUUCAACUGUCCAUGGAGAGUAAAACCAAAACACAGAUCCAGGAUUUCAAAGAAAUAUAGGUCAGUGAUCACCACUCUGAUAGGGAGGGCACCAUCUGAUCAUGAUUUUCUGUGCAAUAUAUGCCAGAGUGUGUGUGUUGCUCCCAUAUUAAACAGAAGAAUAUCAAGUCGGUUAGGCAACAGAUUCAAGACAGUCCAGCACCACCACCAGCAGCAGCAGUUCUUCCAAUUAGUCCCCCUUCUGUAUCACUCCCAUCCCCAUGUACAUCAAGAGGGCACACUUCAUGCUGUAUCUGCGAGUGACCAGGUCCAAAGUUAGUUGUAGUCCCAGUAGGAGUAAGGCAUGAAAUCUUCAUUUCAAAAGAGGCCAUCAUUCCUGCCGGGGCUCGCUUCUGUACAAAUCACCUACAACAAGACAUAGAAGAACUUGAACCUAUUGCUGACAACACCAUGUUCAACAAAACAGGAGUGACAUAAUUAAUCAAACAAGUUUUUGAGAGCUGAAGUUUUGAGAAAAGAGAAAAUAAGGUUGGAUUUUGACGACAGUGAAAGUCUAACAGUGAGCAUCAGAAUCUCCUGGGAACCCCUAAAGCUGCUUUUGAGGACUUGCUGACAUAUGUAAACCUGUAGAAUAUGGAAACUUGUGCUAGAUAAAAGCUUUAUAACCUUUCUACCAGUGAUGUAUUUGUUGACAAUUAAAAGGGUAUUUGAUUUUAGCAGAA